CGCCGCGCUGCUCUCGCGGCCGUGCCGGGCCAGCUCGGCCUCCCUCCCACUCCCCAGCGAGGCAGGAGUCCAGCCAGAGGAGCGCCAAGUUCUUACCGAGGGGCCUGUACAGGAAAAAGGGGUUAGCAAGAAAUUAGCGCGUCACUCGGCCCCCGCUCUCAGCGCCGAGCCCAGCGCCAGCGACCGAGCAGCGCCACAAAAUGGCCGCCCGGCUGCACCGCCUCCCUCCGCUCCCAGCCGCCUUCCCUGCCAGCUACGAGGAGUGAGGGGUGUGGCCUGCCAUGGGUGGGGGUGGGGGGCGGCCGCGGCGAAGGGUUUCCUUUCCGCGAAUUCUCGUCCUUUUUCGUUUUUGUGCUUGUGGCAGCUAGAUCAGCCAGCGAGAGAGAGAUUAACAUCCCAUAGGGCUGAAAGAUCUCGCAGCCCUAUGUGUUGUUGGGGCAUAUAUUUUCGUGUACAGACGAGCGUACUAUGCAUGUAGUGUUAUCUGCCGUGGGCGGAUCAAGCAAACCAGCAGGCAUGCGCGCACGAAGGCACAUAAAUCUCGCAAAGAAACAACAAUGAGCGUGGUCACUCACCUCAGAUUUCUGGUUAUGAGCCCAUAAAGAAGUACCAGCUUGAGAUCAACAUGCGGAAAAGGGCUUGCAGCUGAUGAUUCUCUGAAAGCUGAGAAAGAAGGCCUGGGAAAGUGACCCACUCCAGAGCCUCUCAUCACCUUUUUCUCCUGUUCCUGAAAAGGAAUCCCCUGCUCACCCUGCUGGCCUCUUUGGCCUUGCACUUUGCUUUGCCAUCAGCAUUUCCUGGCUCUGUUUCGAAAUAAAUUGUCAAAUGUG